UGGGGAAUUUUGGACAAUGGGCGAAAGCCUGAUCCAGCCAUCCCGCGUGUGCGAUGAAGGCCCUUCGGGUUGUAAAGCACUUUUUGGCAGGGAAGAAACAGCCUGGGAUAAUACCCCGGGCGACUGACGGUACCUGCAGAAUAAGCACCGGCUAACUACGUGCCAGCAGCCGCGGUAAUACGUAGGGUGCAAGCGUUAAUCGGAAUUACUGGGCGUAAAGCGUGCGCAGGCGGUUCGGAAAGAAAGGUGUGAAAUCCCAGGGCUUAACCUUGGAACUGCACUUUUAACUACCGAGCUAGAGUACGUCAGAGGGGGGUAGAAUUCCACGUGUAGCAGUGAAAUGCGUAGAGAUGUGGAGGAAUACCGAUGGCGAAGGCAGCCCCCUGGGAUGAUACUGACGCUCAUGCACGAAAGCGUGGGGAGCAAACAGGAUUAGAUACCCUGGUAGUCCACGCCCU
rnacentral:rRNA from 1 species